UUAUGUGAUCGUCUCUCGCAUAUCAAUAAGCGGAGGAAAAGAAACUAACAAGGAUUCCCCUAGUAACGGCGAGUGAAGCGGGAAGAGCUCAAAUUUGAAAGUCUUAAAGGGUUUCCCUUUACGAAUUGUAGUUUAAAGAAGUGUUUUCUGUUGAGGUUUUGGUAAAAGUUCUUUGGAAUAGGACAUCAUAGAGGGUGAGAAUCCCCGUAUUUGACCUUUACUUUCAACUUUGUGAUACACUUUCAAAGAGUCGGAUUGUUUGGGAAUGCAGUCCAAAAUGGGUGGUAAAUUUCAUCUAAAGCUAAAUAUUGGCGAGAGACCGAUAGCGAACAAGUACCGUGAGGGAAAGAUGAAAAGAACUUUGAAAAGAGAGUUAAACAGUACGUGAAAUUGUCAAAAGGGAAGCGUUUGACACCAGUGUUGUUUUUCUGAAAAUCAAUUAAAGAACUGUUUAUGCUAAGUUGUUUAGACUUUAUCAGCUAUCUGCUUAGUUUUGAGCUUUUCUUUAAUGCACUUUUCAGUUAACAAGUCAACGUCAAUUUCUUUUGCUGUAAAAAAGGCUUGAGGAAGGUGGCUUGAGAUUCGUCUUAAGUGUUUAUAGCCUCUUGCCUAUGCAGUCGGAGAGAUUGAGGUCUGCAGCGUAGAUCCUUCGGGGCUAAAUGCAUUUGUGCUAAGUUAUAACAUUUUAUAGACAACUUGUUGACUAUGAUUUGUCUUGUAGCUUACUCGCUUAUGUUAUUUUACCUACGCUUAGGAUGUUGAAGUCAUCGUAUCGCGC
rnacentral:rRNA from 1 species